UACGUAGGGUGCAAGCGUUGUCCGGAAUUAUUGGGCGUAAAGAGCUCGUAGGCGGUUUGUCGCGUCUGCUGUGAAAACCCGCGGCUCAACUGUGGGCGGGCAGCUGAUACGGGCAGGCUGGAGUUCGGUAGGGGAGACUGGAAUUCCUGGUGUAGCGGUGAAAUGCGCAGAUAUCAGGAGGAACACCGGUGGUGUAGACGGCUUCCUGGACCGUAGCUGACGCUGAGACACGAAAGCGUGGGUAGCAAACAGG
rnacentral:rRNA from 1 species